GGGGGUAGCACAGCACAUCUUAUUUUCUUUAUUUCUGGUCCAUUUAGGAAUGAUGAUUUUUCAAGUGGGAGAAGAUAAAGGGGAGAACGUCUCAGAAAUAAUCAUGCAGCUUUGAUUAUCUAACAACCUAUUGGGCACUGCAAAUCUUUAGAUCAGAGCUUCACAAAUUGUGAAACAUGCCAGUGGUGGCACACAGACCGUUGCCAAGUGGCAUGCUGUCCAAUAAAGAGCCAAGAGCUGCCGUUGCUACGGUGGCUUCCAAGAGUAACUUCAGCUAUUACAAAUCUUUUUCCUCAGGUUGGCCAGGUCUGCUGGAGCACAUUACCAGAGAUCUUUCUAUAGGUACUUACUGAGUCCUCCUUUAGUUCACACUGUAUGUGUGAUCCACUUCUGGAUCUUCUGGAUCUCAUAUAUCUGAGUACUGAUUUAGUUACAAGGCAAUUUCAAGGCUCUGGAAAUGCCUGAGCUCCGCACUGUAUCUGAACCAGAGAACAAUACAAAUGACUCCUGGUAUUUCCUAGAAAUGGCUGAUUUUUGGAGAAAUUUUCUUGCUCAGCUAACAACAAAGGAACAAAGACCCUUGGAGCACUGCUCAACAGUUCUUCAGGAAGAUGUAUGGAAUUAGGGUAUAAAAUUGCAGAGAAAAAUGUGGGAUUUUUUUUGUCUUUGUGCAUUUCUUGUGGGAAUGGAUGCUCAAGAACCAGAAUGACAAUAAGGAAAAAGGAAGUGUGUUCUACUAGCUACAACAACAACCUAUUUCAUAUCACUUCCCUUUUCAGCUGGUUCCAAACUCAUUUAGGAGGGGAGUAUCAAGACAAUAAAAUCCCUGAUGUUGGUACAUGGAGGAGCCUUAGAGCUUAGGAAGCCUUCGGUUACUGUCCUGGGCAAAAGCAAAGGGCAGUUACUGUCAGGUAAACAGGCUGGUUGUGGUAUCUGAUUGAGAAACUACUAGGAAAUCCAAAAAGUUCUCCUCAGAAGAUAUGUAGUUUCAGGAGCUAUAAGAGGUAUUUUAUUUGUGCAAGUGAGAUUUUUAAAGUUAACUCUGUCUGCUGCAGGGAAUCCUAAUUAAUAAUGUGCCAACAAAGCAGAUCAGUUGAGAUGAGGCUUUUGCAGCUCUGCAGCCUGGAGAAGGAGACUGCAGCUUGUCAUGGCUGGCGUCCCUUUACCCUGCCAUUCAGGAGAAAAAUAUGAAGAUUUCUUUUCUUCAAGUCUGAUCACCUAGGAGGUAGUGAGCAGGAGCUCUGCUCUUGUCUGAUUAUGUUCUCAGUCUGAUAGUGUGAGUUACUGAUGGAUUCCAGUUGCUUUAGGCAUGCAGAUGAAAUUCCAGGCUGGUGUGAAAGAAAUUGAUGAAGUAAUCAGAACUGUGCCUGUGGCUCCGGUUUCAUUUGUAAAAUGUAACAGAUGGUGUUUGUGUGGCUGACAACUGCCUCUUUCCAAGUGCAAGAUUUUUAUUACCCUGAACAUGUUUUAACUGGCAAGUUCAAACAGAUUCAGAAGCCCCGAACAGUUCAUGCCCCAGCCUCAGACCCGUGCUGCAGGCAAGCAGCUGUAACACUGGAAGGGGAUAGAGCCAGGAUCUGCCACCAUGCCCAAGGCUCCCCACGCUUCUAGUCUGGCACACCAGUUGUCAGGCAGCCUGUUAGUUUAAUCUGCAAUCUGCUGAGCACCUGUGCCCAGCAUGCAAGCACCCAGAGUGGGAGGCAGCCUACGCUGCAGCUGGUGUCAGUGUACUGUGUAUGUAGCGAUGGAAGCACCAGGCUGCAGCUUAGCAUUACAGGCUCUUCCCACCAUGUAACUCGAUUUGCUUUUUUAUGCCCUUGGCAUGUGACUCAAGUUGAUGAGUGAAAGAACGUGAAAGCAGCAACAAGUAAUUGGAGAGCUGAACUUGGAAUGCUUUGAGUAGGUGUUUGGAUGCUUCUCUUACAAAGCAAACUACUAUGAAACGCAGCCUGAACUUCUCACAGUAUUAUUCUGCUUGCAACACUUUUAUCUAAAAGGAUUUCCUGUGUCUGGGAUGUGGGAAUCAUAUGAUGUCAAUACUUAAUUAUAUUCUGGGUUGUGUGUGGUGUUGUUUUUUUUUUUUUACGAGUUUUGCCAUGAUUAUGAAGAGUAAUUUGUAAUGAUCUCUGAACUAAGUAUGUAGAAGACAUACAGCAGCAUUUGUCCGUGUCUGUAAGAAGCAUGACAAACACCUGGAAAGUAUGAGCUACAAUUUAAGUUGAUUAAUCAUGAUGAAGCUGGAAGGGGUCAGUAAGACUAUCUAACCUGAUCUCGCACAGAACUCAAACUACAAGACUUUUCUGAAUAAACUCCCAUUUGAGCCAUACCUAAAUACCUAC
ensembl:lncRNA